CACACAAUUGCAUAGGCUCCUCAAGGGCGGUCGGCUCAUCCCCGAUGGAAAGGGGGUGAGAUCGGUAUGACGGAUACUCAAUGGUUCACUGUGAUGAUUGGAUUUGGCUCGUUAGUUGCUGCGAUCAUUUUCGGUGUACUGUCAGUGGUGAUCGGCAUACUCAACUUACUAAAAAAGAAGUAGACCUCCCUUGAGCUUCCCGGCCUAGGAGGUCUACUUCUUCGCCAAACGAUGAGCCGACACCCUUUUGGGGUAUCAGUUGUGUAAAGACCGUAGGUGUUCCAGCACCUAUG
rnacentral:sRNA from 1 species